CCUACGGGUGGCUGCAGUGAGGAAUAUUGGUCAAUGGGCGCGAGCCUGAACCAGCCAAGUAGCGUGAAGGAUGACUGCCCUACGGGUUGUAAACUUCUUUUAUAUGGGAAUAAAGUGUUGCACGUGUGCCUUUUUGUAUGUACUUUAUGAAUAAGGAUCGGCUAACUCCGUGCCAGCAGCCGCGGUAAUACGGAGGAUCCGAGCGUUAUCCGGAUUUAUUGGGUUUAAAGGGAGCGUAGGUGGGUUGUUAAGUCAGUUGUGAAAGUUUGCGGCUCAACCGUAAAAUUGCAGUUGAGACUGGCAGUCUUGAGUACAGUUGAGGUAGGCGGAAUUCGUGGUGUAGCGGUGAAAUGCUUAGAUAUCACGAAGAACUCCGAUUGCGAAGGCAGCUCACUAGACUGCCACUGACACUGAGGCUCGAAAGUGUGAGUAUCAAACAGGAUUAGAUACCCGAGUAGUC
rnacentral:rRNA from 1 species